rnacentral:rRNA from 1 species
GAUGAACGCUGGCGGCGUGCCUAAUAUAUGCAAGUCGAGCGAACGGACGAGAAGCUUGCUUCUCUGAUGUUAGCGGCGGACGGGUGAGUAACACGUUGAUAACCUACCUAUAAGACUGGGAUAACUUCGGGAAACCGGAGCUAAUACCGGAUGAUCUUUUGAACCGCAUGGUUCAAAAGUGAAAGACGGUCUUGCCGUCACUUAUAGAUGGAUCCGCGCUGCAUUAGCUAGUUGGUAAGGUAACGGCUUACCAAGGCAACGAUGCAUAGCCGACCUGAGAGGGUGAUCGGCCACACUAGAACUGAGACACGGUCCAGACUCCUACGGGAGGCAGCAGUAGGGAAUCUUCCGCAAUGGGCGAAAGCCUGACGGAGCAACGCCGCGUGAGUGAUGAAGGUCUUCGGAUCGUAAAACUCUGUUAUUAGGGAAGAACAUAUGUGUAAGUAACUGUGCACAUCUUGACGGUACCUAAUCAGAAAGCCACGGCUAACUACGUG